GCAGCUUGUUAACAUAUUGGCAAGUGAUAUGACUGAGAGACAUGGCAGAAUUCCCUCCCGUAAGCAAAAGGAGAAAUAUGCCCUUGGAAUAAUUACACUCUUUCCCUCAUUGAAGGAUCCAUUUUCUCCAAACGGCUAUGAGCAUUUCUACGACGGAGUGAAAGGCACUGGAUAUGUAGCGUGGCGCCUCAAAACCAUGUCC